rnacentral:rRNA from 2 species
GCCAGAUGGAGGGGGAUAACUACUGGAAACGGUAGCUAAUACCGCAUGACCUCGAAAGAGCAAAGUGGGGGACCUUCGGGCCUCACGCCAUCGGAUGUGCCCAGAUGGGAUUAGCUAGUAGGUGAGGUAAUGGCUCACCUAGGCGACGAUCCCUAGCUGGUCUGAGAGGAUGACCAGCCACACUGGAACUGAGACACGGUCCAGACUCCUACGGGAGGCAGCAGUGGGGAAUAUUGCACAAUGGGCGCAAGCCUGAUGCAGCCAUGCCGCGUGUGUGAAGAAGGCCUUCGGGUUGUAAAGCACUUUCAGCGAGGAGGAAGGCAUUAAGGUUAAUAACCUUAGUGAUUGACGUUACUCGCAGAAGAAGCACCGGCUAACUCCGUGCCAGCAGCCGCGGUAAUACGGAGGGUGCAAGCGUUAAUCGGAAUUACUGGGCGUAAAGCGCACGCAGGCGGUUUGUUAAGUCAGAUGUGAAAUCCCCGAGCUUAACUUGGGAACUGCAUUUGAAACUGGCAAGCUAGAGUCUUGUAGAGGGGGGGUAGAAUUCCAGGUGUAGCGGUGAAAUGCGUAGAGAUCUGGAGGAAUACCGGUGGCGAAGGCGGCCCCCUGGACAAAGACUGACGCUCAGGUGCGGAGGCGUGGGGAGCAAACAGG